rnacentral:lncRNA from 1 species
CAAUUGAAGGGCUAAGUAAAUAAAGAAUAAUCAAAGGGCUAAAAAGCAAUGCUCCACUCAACGAUCAAGAUUUAUGAUGCCACUUCAUGAAAACACUAGAGAUUGGGUGCUACACCAAGAUCUAAGGGAUAGGAAGCAAGUUUUCUUGAUCCAAGUGCUAUCAUUCAAGGUGCCAACUCAUGAAGCCCUAUCCCCCUCUCUGCAUUCACACCUC